GGCUAGGUAGCUCAGUUGGUACGAGCGUCCGCCUGAAAAGCGGAAGGUCGGCGGUUCGACCCCGCCCCUAGCCA
rfam:Nocardiopsis flavescens strain CGMCC 4.5723 genome assembly, contig: Ga0104439_112